rnacentral:lncRNA from 1 species
AUGUAUCCUAUCAUCGCACCCUUCUUUGUUUCACGCUUCCGAGAGGCAAUAUUCCACUUCUCUGCAUUGUUUGAUAUGUUUGAUUCCAAUUUGCCUCGUGAUGAUCAGAUGAGAUUGGGGUUUGAGAAAGAGUUUAUUGGACGUGAAGUUGUGAAUAUAGUAGCAUGUGAGGGCACUGAAAGAACUGUGAGGCCAGAAACAUAUAAGCAGUGGCAGGUACGGAACAUGAGGGCUGGGUUCAGGCAGCUGCCGUUGGACCGUGAGGUCAUGAACAAAAUAAAGGAUAAGGUAAAAAUGGGGUACAACCCUGAUUUUGUGGUUGAUGAAGAUGGCCGCUGGAUGCUGCAGGGAUGGAAGGGCAGAAUUAUGUGUGGUUCUGCCUGUUGGGCACCGUCUAAGAGUUGAAAUGCGUGAUUGUUAGAACUGACUCCCACAAUUUGUCAAAUAUAACUAAUCAAAAUUGAAGGUUGAGAGCAAGUUCUAGAAUCUGGUAGUUUUGGUAAAACAGGUUAAGUGUUAGAAUCAGCUUUGGUAAAACAAGUUUGAGGUAAGGGAAGUUUUGGGGAAUAGUUUUGUUUUGUAAACUUAUUAUCUUGCUCUUGAGUUGUAUAUGCUGCUGCUAAAAAUGGUUAUUGUGUUUAGCUUUUCAUCAUAUUAUUAUUUGAUACUAUGUAGAAAAUGAUGAAGAGAAAAAAUAAACUCUUUUAUUGAAUCAUUUAAGUUACAACCAAGUGUAUAUAUACAAGUCUAGCCAUACCUAGCCAUACCAGCCAUACUCAUGGCAGUAAGGUAGAUGACUUACUUACACAAGGUAUGGUGUAGUCAGCAUGCUACACCAUAUUUUAUUAUAGAGUAGGUAAGGUGAUGAACACUACAUCAUUCUUUACUGUAGACUACACCAUAUUUUCUCUACUGUAGAAUAGUAUGUUGAUUAUAUAUUUCUAUAUAUUUCAAUAGUUCUAAAAACCUUGUGUCUAGAAUUCUCUCUAGCUAGAUAGCUCUAGAAGUCAUAUGUUUCUAGUUCUUUCUCUAGUCUUAUUUAAAUUUAGUUUCAGCUGUGUUUUGGUAACAACACCAACAGACAAAGUUGCAGCCCUUGUAUUUGAGUAGUGAAAGUUUUUCCAAGUAAAGUUGUCUCUUGUUCUUUGUUUCUGGUGUUCUUCUUUGUUAUUGGUUUUGGUUCUGAGCAAGAGUAUUUUGUCCUCUCUUUGGUUGAAACCAACACGAAGGUGGACUCUCUACGACGGUCAAGUCUUAUCGAAAAGCUAUAGAUGACCUUAAGAAGCAAGAUGAAUCUGACCGAAAGGCGCGUAAGUCAGACCUGGGGGUCCUCUUGCAGCUUAAUUACAUGUUCAACUUAGCAACUGGCAAGUGGCGAACAGGUGGAUAGGUUAAUCCAACUCGGUGACCAGUGCACCGAAACUCAUAGACGGAUCCAGGCUUAAUGUUUCUAUUUUCAAGCUCUUUGCAUCUUGAUCAAAUUCUGGUUUAUCAUUUGCAGCAAUUUCCAACUAUGAGCUUUCCAACAACUAAUGUUUAUGCUUCUUUAGACUAUACAAGUACUUCAAAAAUUAAAGAUCUAAUACAUUAAUGAAAUGAUGAAGGAUGUGCCGUAGAGACCGGAACCCAUGACCAACACAUCUGUAGCCCUGGAGGGCAGUUUCUAUAUCGGUUGAAAGCUAAAACCCCAGCCAAAGUCAUCAUCCAAAAAGAAGAAUAAACCCAAAUUAGUCAAAUUGAGAGCUCCAUAUGUCUGAGACUUUUAAGUCUUCCGAGACUUUUAGUCGGAAAAAAAAUAAAACUAAAAACUAUUUCCGAGGCUAUAUUCUUAUUCUAGUGGUUGCUUUCGUAGCUCAGACUGUAAGCUUAGCUGGUUUAGUAUAAUUGUAAAAAACCUUUCUGUUAAAUUCAUUCCUGCUAGGCUGCUAAUUACUCAGAAAUUUACAAAGCUUUCUUCUUGUUCUUCAGUUCUCUCUCUUUUUCAUUCAAGCUUAUCUACCUCAGCUAUCAGCCUGAGAGCUCCAUCUCCUCUGCUUCGAACUCAUCUCUUUUGACGCGCACUUGCGAUCAGGGUUUGGCAUAUCUCUCUCUCUCAGGUAAGCAGACUCUUCAAACCCAAAACUCGCAUCAAUUUGCUUCUUCAUUUCACCCAACUGGAAUUGGGUUUCCUUCAAUUUUGUGAAUUUCAAAAUAAUGGAUUCACCUUUCUCUGAAUAUCCCAAUUUCAACGAUCAAACCCUUUUACUCGAUAUUGUUAGGAUUGUGGCUCAAAACUAAUUCCUUGUCUGUUUUGGAUUCUUUACUUCUGAAGGUUUUGGGUAAGUUAUUCUAGUGUAUCUAGGAUUCUUAGAGUUUAUCCUUAGGAGUAAAGGUUUAGGAUUCUUGCUAUGGUUCUAAAUCCUAUUGUAAGUCAAACUAAUUGAGAGUCUAUAAAUAGGACAUUAGAGACAUAGUUUUAGGUGUGGAUCAAUUGAGAGUUUAGAGUAUUCGAGAGUUGCAAGCUUUGAGAGUUUGGGUGAUUUAAGAGUUCUCUGUUGAGAAUCUAGAGUGUGAGGAGAGAGGUUAUUUGAGGGUGGAAGAACCGUAUUGUUCUUCAGUUGUAAUCUUCUUCUCAUUUAGUGGAUCCACCAUCACCAUCACCGGAGGACGUAGGUCAACUGUUUUGACCGAACCUCGUUAAUAUCUUGUGUUCGCUUGCAUUGAUUUUGGUUAUUGUCUUCAUUCAGUUACGAUCUUGGGCUAGGGAAUUCGGAGGUGACCCGGAUUUCCUAUCAAAGUGGUAUCUAGAGCCUGUGUUCCGUGAGCUAAGCGGAAAGAUGGCGGGGAUUGAAGACGUCGAGAAAAGGGUUGACAAGUUUGAUGGGCAUGAUUUUGUUAUGUGGAGGUCUCAGAUAACUGACUAUCUAAAUGUCAAGAAGUUGUCCAAGCCUUUGCUUGGAGUUAAGCCACAGGGCAUGAAAAAUGUGGAUUGGGAGGAGCUUGACACUCAAGCUUUAGGAGCUAUUCGACUAUCGCUAUCAAAUGAAGUUCGGCGCGAUGUGAUACAUGAGAAAACUACUAAAGGGUUAAUGGAUACCCUCUCAGAGAUCUUUGAGAAGCCAAGCGCAGUUGAGCAGGUGCACUUAUUGAGGAAGUUGUUUUCAAUGAAGAUGGCCAAAGGUGGCUCUAUGCGAAGACAACAAGCAGCGGUUUGUGAUAUUGUCGAACAAUUGGCUACUGUGGAUAUCAUAAUUGGAGAACACCUCAAGGCGUUGGUGUUGCUGACCUCCAUGCCAGAUACUUGGGAUGUUACUGUCAACUCUAUUUGCAGUUCAGCUGGGAAGAAUAAGUUGGUCUACAACGAAGUUCGGGAUACCUUGUUGAGUGAGGAAACUAGGAGGAAGAAGAAUGAUGAUGAAGAGUCGCCUGCGACUACAUCUGCUUUGCUUGUAAGAGGAAGAUCUAGUGUAAAGGAGGGUACGAAUUGUGGUAGAUCAAAGUCGAGGAGUUUUAGAGAUCAAGAUAGAGACAAAGAUAAGGAGUGCUUUUACUGUCAUGAUUUUGGGCAUAUUAGGUAUAAUUGUCCAAAAUUGAAGUCGAAGAGAGCUACUACUGCAAUGGUAGCAAGUGAAGAUGAUGGAGAAUAUUAUGGAGAUGCGCUCAUGGUCACAUCAUGUUUAGAGACGCCACAUGAUGAGUGGAUUUUGGAUACUGGUUGUUCUGAACACAUGUGUCCCAAUAGGGAUUGGUUUUCUUCCUACAAGUCUGUGAAGGGAGGUCUAGUGAGGUCGGUUGGUGCACAAACCUACAAAGUUGCUGGUGUUGGAACAAUCAAAAUUAAGGUACAUGAUGGAUCAGUGAGGAGUUUAGAGAAUGUUCUCCAUGUUCCUAAGUUGGAUAGGAAUCUGAUAUCUUUGGGAACUUUAGAUUCGGAAGGCCACAAGAUUGUUGGUCAUGAUGGAAAUAUGAAAGUUUUGAAGGGGCACUCGUAGUAAUGAAAGGUAAGAAGGUAAAUGGUCUCUAUCGUUUAGAAGGGAGCUUUGUUCGAGGUGGAACAUGUGGUUCCGUUAAGAGUUUUGUUCGAGGUGGAAAGAUUGGCAAUCUUGGUUCCUAUUGGCAUUCAAGGGAGAUGAGCAGUAGUAAAUGCGGAGGAAUGAAAUCAGCUUCUAAAAAGGUGAAAUUUGAGGAGCAACCAACAUUGCAGCAGUCCUUAAAAGGAGGUAGACCCAUAAGGAUCCCGACACAAGUUUGUGGUGGAGAUAUGCUAGUUCAUGCAUAUUCCACAAUUGAGGUGUCACCUACUUCAGUGAGUAGUGAGAAAGUUGAGAAGCAAACUUGGUGUUUUAAGAGUGAUGCGUCUAGAGAAGAUAUCGUUCAUGGUGGAGAAUAUGUUCAGAGGAAUGUUGCUCGUGGUGAGUUGUGCAAACCGUUGAAGAUCGCUCCCAUUAGGUUUGACAACUUUAGUGGAGACUUGGAUUGCAUGCAAGUGGCUGCGCUAUGCAUGUUUGAGGGAAAGAGUUCAUGUCCAAGGGUCAAGUUUGAGUGUUUCUCAAACAUGGCUAACUCGUCUUGCUGUUGAGGGCGCCAUGUGGCACAUUGAGGUGUGAUGGUGAUCGUGGCUCGUUGAGAAGAGUCAAGGAAGCUUGCGUUUAGUGGAAGGUUGGAGAUUUUGAGCCGAGGUGGAAAUUGUUAGGAUUGCGGCUCAAAACUAAUUCCUUGUUUGUUUUGGAUUCUUUACUUCUGAAGGUUUUGAGUAAGUUAUUCUAGUGUAUCUAGGAUUCCUAGAGUUUAUCCUUAGGAGUAAAGGUUUAGGAUUCUUGCUAUGGUUCUAAAUCUUAUUGUAAGUCGAACUAGUUGAGAGUCUAUAAAUAGGACAUUAGAGACAUAGUUUUAGGUGUGGAUCAAUUGAGAGUUUAGAGUAUUCGAGAGUUGCAAGCUUUGAGAGUUUGGGUGAUUUAAGAGUUCUCUGUUGAGAAUCUAGAGUGUGAGGAGAGAGGUUAUUUGAGGGUGGAAGAACCGUAUUGUUCUUCAGUUGUAAUCUUCUUCUCGUUUAGUGGAUCCACAAUCACCAUCACCGGAGGACGUAGGUCAACUGUUUUGACCGAACCUCGUUAAUAUCUUGUGUUCGCUUGCAUUGAUUUUGGUUAUUGUCUUCAUUCAGUUACGAUCUUGGGCUAGGGAAUUCGGAGGGUGACCCGGAUUUCCUAUCAGAUAUGUUGAACGAGUACCCAAGUGUUGACCCUUUUGAUCAUCUUAGCUUUUUGGACCCAAACCCCAUGAACUCUGCUCUGUCUUCGAGCUUUAGCCCUGUAGGAGAUGAUGGUGAGUUUUCUAACACUGUGAUCAAGCACAUAAAUCAGGUGCUUAUGGAGGAGGACAUGGAGCCAACACCAUGUCUGUUCCCUGAUCGUUUGGUUCUUCAAGCCACUGAGGAGUCUCUUUAUGAGAUUAUUGGAGGAGGGAAGUGCUCAACUUCCCAAGACCAAAACCCUCUUUGGGUUGAUCAAAAUGAGUAUGGAAAUGAGAUGGUGGGUUCUUAUAGGAGUGAGCUUAUGGUUCCUGAUGAGGUUAGUAAGAAGGAAUUGUUAGUGCAAUUUGACCGAGGGGCAGAGGACGGUAGUAAGUUUCUUCCUAGAGGUCAGUUGAUUACGGCGGAGGACAACAAGCCGUAUAAUGUGGCGAAUAGCAAGGCAGGAAAUGUGGUUGUUACAACCCAGAAGAAUGGAAGUGAGCAUGUCCGUGUUGGUUCAAGAGGAAAGAAUAGUCAUCUGAGGGAGGAGAUAGAGUUGGAGGAUGGGAGGAAUGACAAGCAAUCUGUGGUUUAUGUGGAUGAUGAGGAGGGUGAGCUGUCUGAUAGUUUCGGCAAGGCGUUGCUCAGCGGUAAGGCUGUUGAAAGUAAAGAGGAUCAAGUCUGUCAGAAUGGAGCUAACAAUGGCCAGCAGCAGGAUGUGCUAGUCAGUCAGAAGGCUUGUGGCAUGAAACGAGGCAACAAGAAGGAAGUGAUAGAUUUGAGGCGUCUUCUGAUUUCAUGUGCAGAAGCUGUUGCUGUUGAUGAUCGAUGGACUGCUAGUGAGCUACUAAAGCAAAUUAGGUUAUGCGAUGAAAGGUGGUUUCGACGUGGAUGUUGCGUUAUGUAAUAGUGUGUUGGAUAUGUAUUCGAAAUGUGGUGAUUUGAGUGAUGCAUUGAGAGUUUUUGAGAAGAUGGGUCGAAGAAGUGUUUUGUCGUGGACUUCAAUGAUAGCCGGUUAUGUUAGAGAAGCUCUUUCGGAUAAGGCAAUUGAGUUGUUUUGUGAAAUGGAAACGGAUGGUGUUAUCCCAGAUGUUUAUACAAUCACAAGCAUACUUCAUGCAUGUGCUUGUAGCGGCUCAUUGGAAAAGGGUAAGGAUAUACACAAGUAUAUUAGGGAACAUGAUAUGGACUCGAGUUUGUUUGUCUGUAAUUCGCUCAUGGAUAUGUAUGCAAAAUGUGGAAGCAUGGAAGAUGCUGACUCAGUUUUUUCUCAUAUGCCUAUGAAGGACAUCGUGUCAUGGAAUACCAUGAUCGGAGGUUACUCCAAGAACUGCCUUCCAAACGAAGCUCUUGAACUCUUUUCUGAUAUGCAACGGAAAUUUAAACCUGACAGCAUGACCCUUGCCAGUGUCCUUCCUGCUUGUGCAAGCCUAGCAGCUCUCGACAGAGGUCAAGAGAUCCAUGGUUAUUUACUGAGACAUGGAUACUUUUUGGAUCAAUAUGUUGCCAAUGCACUUGUUGACAUGUAUGUCAAGUGCGGGGUGCUAAUUCUUGCUCGGGUACUUUUUGAAAUGAUUCCUGUGAAAGAUCUGAUCUCUUAUACUGUGAUAAUUGCUGGUUAUGGGAUGCAUGGAUUUGGAAAGGAAGCAAUUGCUGCAUUCAAUGAGAUGACAAAGGCUGAAAUUGAACCGGACAGCAUUUCCUUCAUCUCUAUACUUUAUGCUUGCAGUCAUUCUGGAUUGGUUCAGGAAGGAUGGAGAUUCUUUGAUAUUAUGAGAAAUGAUUACAAAAUCGAGCCCAUGUUGGAGCAUUAUGCUUGUAUGGUGGAUCUUCUUGCUCGGACUGGGAAUCUAACCAAGGCAUAUAAAUUUAUUAACAUGAUGCCAAUUGAGCCAGAUGCCACAGUCUGGGGUUCCUUGCUCUGUGGUUGUAGGAUUCACCAUGAUGUGAAACUAGCAGAGAAAGUUGCAGAGCAUGUCUUUGAACUAGAGCCAGAAAACACUGGCUAUUAUAUACUUCUAGCAAAUAUUUAUGCAGAGGCAGAAAAGUGGGAAGAGGUGAAGAAGUUGAGGGAGAGGAUUGGUCGGCGAAGCUUGAAAAAGAAUCCGGGCUGUAGUUGGAUAGAGAUCAAGGGAAAAGUUAAUAUCUUUGUUGCAGGAGGCACUUCACACCCAGAUGCCAUGAAGAUAGAGUCCCUAGUGAAGAAAUUUAGAUCGAGGAUGAAGGAAGAUGGCUACAAUCCUAAAAUGCAGUACGCUUUGAUUAAUGCAGAUGAGGUGGAGAAAGAAGUGGCUCUCUGUGCGCAUAGUGAGAAAUUAGCCAUAGCAUUCGGGAUACUGAACACGCCACCCAGAAAAACCAUACGAGUGACCAAGAAUCUACGAGUCUGUGGCGACUGCCAUGAGAUGGCCAAGUUCAUAUCCAGAACAUCUAGGAGGGAAUUGUUUUGAGAGAUUCUAACCGCUUUCAUCAUAUGAAGGAUGGGAAUUGUUCAUGUAGGGGCUUCUGGUAAACUGAAGUUGGACUUGAAAUGUAAAAGGACACCUCAUUUGAUUCUUUAACUUGAUGUGUUCUCAAACACUAAGCGGGACAUGAGAUUGUUUUCGACCAACAGAUUGGAAGAACUCUAAGUAGGCAUUUGAGUUGGGAAUGAAUCAUGUAUUGGGUCAGUUUGGAAAACAUGCUUGUUUGGUUAUUCCGAGCAGUUUUGCAGUGGAUGACAAAGGGUUAAGUGAGCAUGGAUUUAUCAGUUUGUCCAGGUUCUGCUGUUUCCCUUCGUUNNNNNNNNNNNNNNNNNNNNAAGUCGAAUUGACUGAAUGAGAUGAUAUGGGUAGUGAGCCCAAUAUAUAAUUUGUGCUAGAAGUUAUAUGAUAAGCAGCAUAUAUAACUAGUAGAUGAUAGUGUGACACGUGACCAGCGUGUAUGCACGUCAACCAACACCAUAAAAUAUCAAAGAUGUCCGCAAGUUAGUUGAAUUUGUCUACAGAAUCCCCUUGGAUUCAAUGUAAUUUAGAACAUUAUAUAUGAGAAUACAUGUGUCCUUUUCAUAGGAUGAAUCUCAAUCCUAAUUUUCCAAAGAAAUAGGCUUUACAAAAUGAGUGAUUAAUUGGCUUUCAGAAGUAACCAAUGAAGAUUUUGGUUUAGCCAUAAAGUCAUAAUUGACUUGAGAAUAGGGAACGAUUGCACCAACAUGUGCAUCAAAAAUGUCCCAAAGCCGCUUAGGGGAAGCGGCGGCAUUUUUAUACAAGUAGCAAUAUGCCUUUUGAACCAUAUUCUUUUGGUUCUUGCUUCUUCUCACUCAAAAUAAUGGAUGUCCAUGUGAUAUUUUUAUUUUCAAUAUACGGAUCAUCAUACCAUGACCAUGAUAUCUUAAUUUGUCAUGUUAAAACCUAUAUGUGUCAUAAUCCCAAUGUCAUCUCAUAUGACAUUGUUAGAUUCAACAAUUAUAAUAGUGGUUACAACUUAACCCACUAAUGACACAUAAUCUUCUCUAAUACUCGUGUACAUCCGUAGUCAUUAGAGGUAAUGCAAACGAACUCAUGUCCAUUCUCUCUUAUGCGUUUUCACAUGAUAAUUGUUGGCAAUAUAUCUUUUAGUGCUGAUAAGGGUUCGAUUAGCUUUUGGAGCAUAAAAAGCUUCAAUGAUAAUAAUCAUAGUGCCAUAAAGACAAGAAUUUGACCCAUCUAUCGCUCGUUUUUUAUUAGUUGUAAUGAUUCAAUCAUUUGAGUCACAAAGGGAUUAUAAGACAUUAUUCCACAAAUAAUUAUCUGCUUUUAGGUAUUGUGUGGGUAGUCAUACUAUCGACUUUAAAUAUUUGAUCUCUCCAAGUAACAUACUGGCAAAUUAUAGGAGAUUAGUCAACAAAUGUUCAAGACAUACAGUGAGGGUAAAUAUACUCAAAUAAACAAUUUUUUUUCUGUUACGAUGAACAGUACCUUGUUGACUUUUUUUUGGUUCAGCUGACUUUUCGUCAGAGUUGACCUUUUUCGACACAGUUGACUUUUUCGUCAUAGUUGACUUUCACUUUUUUCAAUUCUUUGUCGAAAAUAUUUUGUCACGUACCCUUUUAACUCAUAUUACCACACCAUGUGCAUUUAUGGUGGAAUUAUUUAUUUCUUUCGAACCAUAUAUCAGAAUAAGACAUGAUCACAGCUUUGAAUAUGCCAUUGCAAUAACAAAUUCAAAUAAAGCUCAAAUCUCAUAGAAAUAUAUUCGAGACUUUAUUAAUAUGCCAACGUACACAUCGAGGUUUUGUAAUCAAAAUCUAAUCCAAAUAAUAAAAAUCAUGACCAAACGUCAUUUAUGAAUUGAGGCAUAGAAGUAUGUACAAGUAUUCUUGGAAAAUAAUGUUCUAAUCAAAAUCUGCAACAUCAAUGUGUUCUUUGCCAGAUUUGAAGUAUGUAAUAGUGAGAUUGACGUCAUUGCCAUCUCCAUCUUCUUCUUAGCUGCAUGAUGAGCAUUUGCUCUCUUAUAUAUUUAUAUACUUUAUAUUGUGCAGCUAAUUUAGCACUUGCCUUGCAAUGCUCAAAAUUAAUGCUUAUUAGAUCAAUGUCUAUAGCAUAUAUACCUCAUCUUCAAAUACCAAGCCAUGUCAUGGCAUUAAGGUGGUUCUCGAUGUCAGUCACCCAUUGGUGAUAUUCAANNNNNNNNNNNNNNNNNNNNNNNNNNNNNNNNNNNNNNNNNNNNNNNNNNAUCUUUUUGGUGGUGUCAUGAUAUAGGUCCUCAGAGACGGUCGAUGGACUGAGCAAGAUGCUUCAAUUUUGGUUCCAGGAGACAUAAUCAGCAUUAAGUUGGGAGAUAUAGUGCCUGCUGAUGCUCGCCUUCUUGAGGGUGAUCCUCUCAAGAUUGACCCAACUCGCAUCAAAUUGCUUCUUCAUUUCACCCAACUGGAAUUGGGUUUCCUUCAAUUUUGUGAAUUUCAAAAUCAUGGAUUCACCUUUCUCUGAAUAUCCCAAUUUCAACGAUCAAACCCUUUUACUCGAUAUGUUGAACGAGUACCCAAGUGUUGACCUUUUUGAUGAUCUUAGCUUUUUGGACCCAAACCCCAUGAACUCUGCUCUGUCUUCGAGCUUUAGCCCUGUAGGAGAUGAUGGUGAGUUUUCUAACACUGUGAUCAAGCACAUAAAUCAGGUGCUUAUGGAGGAGGACAUGGAGCCAACACCAUGUCUGUUCCCUGAUCCUUUGGUUCUUCAAGCCACUGAGGAGUCUCUUUAUGAGAUUAUUGGAGCAGGGAAGUGUUCAACUUCCCUAGACCAAAACCCUCUUUGGGUUGAUCAAAAUGAGUAUGGAAAUGGAAAUGAGAUGGUGGGUUCUUAUAGGAGUGAGCUUAUGGUUCGUGAUGCGGUUAGUAAGAACAAAUUGUUGGUCCAGGGGCAGAGGAUGGUAGUAAGUUUCUUCUUAGAGGUGAGUUGAUUACAGCGGAGGGCAACAAGCCGUAUACUGUGGCGAAUAGCAAGGCAGGAAAUGUGGUUGUUAGGACCCAGAAGAAUGGAAGUGAGCAUGUCCGUGUUGGUUCAAGAGGAAAUAAUAGUCAUCUGAGGGAGGAGGUAGAGUUGGAGGAUGGGAGGAAUGACAAGCAAUCUGUGGUUUAUGUGGAUGAUGAGGAGGGUGAGCUGUCUGAUAGUUUUGGCAAGGCGUUGCUCGGCGGUAAGGCUGUUGAAAGUAAAGAGGAUCAAGUCUGUCAAAAUGGAGCUAACAAUGGCCUGCAGCAGGAUGUGCUAGUCAGUCAGAAGGCUUGUGGCAUGAAACGAGGCAACAAGAAGGAAGUGAUAGAUUUGAGGGGUCUUCUGAUUUCAUGUGCAGAAGCUGUUGCUGUUGAUGAUCGAGGGACUGCUAGUGAGCUACUAAAGCAAAUUAGGCAGCACUCUUCCCCAUUUGGUGAUUAUACUCAGAGGUUGUCUCAUUGCUUUGCAAAUGCUCUUGAAGCGUGGUUGGCUGGCACUGGAAGUGAACUAUAUACUACUUUGGCUACUAAACGAGCGUCGGCUGUAUUAGGAAAGUAAUCUCUUGUAUCUUAUUGUAUCUUGGUUAUCUUGUUGUUUAGGAAAGUAUCAAUU